rnacentral:lncRNA from 1 species
GCGCGGGGGACCGCCGGGGCAGCGACAACGCUGACGCUCCAGGGAUGACGGACCACGGCGGCGAACGCGAAGGACCCUUCAGUGAUCCCACCCCGAGGAGGAGCAGCAGGAAAGUCUACUGCUGCAGGCAGCUCACUACUACUCCUCGUAGUCCGGAAGAAAAGGAAGGGCUCCCGGGGCACGUUUUACUGCAGGCUGCUCUGGCUCAAACCCACGCCUGUCGUACGUCCUUCGCCGUCCACUAACGACCUCGACCGCGGCGAUGAGCCCUCGCCGUGACGCGAUUUCACCCGGCAGGGAACGCCAUGGCAACAACGGGCGAAGGCCGUGCCGCUGCCAGGGCCUCCAACCUCUCUCUUCUCAAGUAGUGAAGUCGAUUCAAAUCCUUACCCUGCCCUCUUCUCUUCCCCGGAUUGAGCAGGAAAUCCUAACCCUACCUAUUUGUAUUACCAUGAAUUUCAGCUUCAUAGUUGUGUUUCUUUUAGUUAAUUUUGUUUUUCUUUUGGUUGUUUCAGCGCCUUGGUAGCUCCUUUCAGCUUGCCUUUGGGGUGUCAUGUCCCUGCUAAGAUAACCGUGUUCUGGAGUCAAUAUUUAUGCUCCCAAUUUUUGUGCUUUCUCUGUUCCCCAGUUUCUAAGUGUUUUCUGGCCUGUGUGCAUGUUCAAACUGAUGUCGAAUGGCCACACGGAAAUGGCCGAGAAAGGACCGCUGUGUUGCUGUUUGCUCAAAGUCUCAGCCAAGAUAUUUGAAGACUCAUCUGUCAGUGGUCUGGAAGGCUGGAAUACUAAUUAUAUUAUCUUGAUAUCAGAGAUAGCAGUAUGCCUACUUAUUUGUGUUUUGCUCCGUUCCUCUUUCCAGCUCUAUCUUAGAGCUUUCAUCAGCAAUUGAUAACUAUCCGUAUAGGAAAAAAAACCCUG